GAGAUAUCAAUUAGCUAUGGGAACAAGGGAAAUGAGGAACUGCUGUACCUGUAUGGAUUCGUCAUGAAUGAUAAUCCUGAUGACUACCUCAUGGUUCAUUAUCCGGUGGAAGCUAUUCAAAACGUUGAUUUCUCAGAUUCGAAAGCUCAACUUCUUGAAGCACAGAAAGCUGAAUUGAGAUGUCUCUUACCCCGAAGUUUGCUAAAUCGCGGAUUUUUCCCUCCAUCCAACUCAUCUGAGGAAGAUAAAGAUAAACCCACUUUUUGAAUGCAUUGAGAACCUUAGCAAUGAAAGAAAAUGAGCUUUAUCGUGUUUCUUCUCUACUUGAGGAGCUUGUUGGAUCUGGAGGAGAAAGGCAGCCAACUGACACAGAAGUUCAAGCAGCAGUAUGGGAGGCUUGUGGAGAUUCUGGAGCUUUACAACUUCUUGUUGAUCUGCUUAACAUGAAGAUGAUGGAUCUGGAAGAGGGUUCAGGAACAGAGGAGAAUGACACUGAAUUACUCGAGAAAGCUCGCACUGCAGAAACCUCACAAGAUUGCAAAGAGACCAGUGACAUUGCCCAGAAUCAUUUGCUGAGUAGAAAUAAGCAAUCUAGUAUAAUAUACAGGCGGGGGCAGAAACAACUAACUCGUCUCUUCAUUAAGGAAGCAGAGCACGCGUUGCAGUUAGCAUUGACCGAAGAACUCUAGAUAAAUCUAACCCAAGAUUUUACAUUCUGCAAGAUAGCUAUUUGAGCAAAUAUUUAGGUAAUGAUUGAAAUGUCAAGCCGGGCCUGCAUUUCAG
rnacentral:misc_RNA from 1 species